UGCCGCCAAAGUCAACACGGAUACCGUACGUGCCGCACCCCUUUCGGUCUCUACAUUUAUCCCUCCACGCGCUGCCUGGAUAGAGAGUAAACAAGUGAACUCGACGAUGAAGAUGUACUCGGAAGAACUUGACACGGAACACGUUGCCGAGACCCUUUACGUUUCGCCAAAUUGCAUAUAAAAACUACUACAUUAGUCCUGUUAUAAAGUUUUAUGUAUCUAUGAAUAAAUUUGAAGAAAUUAGA
rnacentral:lncRNA from 13 species